AAAACUGAGACACAAAGAAAAAGUAACUUAGCUAAAGCUUUCAGUUAGUACAAAGUCAAAACUAAAACUAAGCUCCCUGAGUUCUUCACAGUGCUAUUUCUAUCACAUUGUGAAACUGAAGCGUCAUCUUCUCUUCCUGAGACCAGUUUGCUAAUGCAAAGAGGGGACAAGACUUUCACAGCCCAAGGAGACUCUACCCAAACGUAAUGACUACACACGUCUGGAGCAGUGCCAGGAGCCAGCCCCAAACAAGAGCUCAUGUGACCAGUCUUCCUAAGUAGAGCUGAGCCUGCUGAUCCAGGGAGAGGUGGGCGGAACAGCUGGAUAUCUGCCUGGCUGAUUACUACGAAGCCCUGCUGGCUGAACGUUCCCCAUCCCCAAGGAGAAGAGGAGGCCUAAGAGCAGGCAGCUCUGAAGGAAAGAGCAUUUAAGGACCUCAGCGUGAUGUGAUGUGUGGCAUGAUUUCCUUUCCCCAUCCAACCAGUUAGAUAAAUCACACCUUAUCCCAGGAGGAUGAGGAAGAAGCCACUGAAGGAGUGCAAAAGGAGUUUGCCCACUGUUUUGUCAAGAGAGUUGACAGCAUGGAGUUCAGAAAGCAGAUGCACCUUACAGGCUUCCAAAGGUGAUGAAACAACUGGAUUCAACUACUGUGUAAUCAACUGUGGUCAGGUAAAGGGUAAGAACUUUCUCUAUUUAACCUCAUUUAAGCCCCUGUGUCUGCAAAGUCUCUCAGGUCAGCCGUGGCUGUCACUUUUUUCCAGGAUACCCUAGAGAUGACACACAGAGUUCAAGAUUUAUACAGGGCAAUUUGACAAGCAGCAACCUAAAGGAAA